GAAGGUUUUUUGUGACUGAGUGGCGGACGGGUGAGUAACGCGUGGGUAACCUGCCUCAUACAGGGGGAUAACAGUUAGAAAUGACUGCUAAUACCGCAUAAGACCACAGAGCCGCAUGGCUCAGUGGGAAAAACUCCGGUGGUAUGAGAUGGACCCGCGUCUGAUUAGGUAGUUGGUGGGGUAACGGCCUACCAAGCCAACGAUCAGUAGCCGACCUGAGAGGGUGACCGGCCACAUUGGGACUGAGACACGGCCCAAACUCCUACGGGAGGCAGCAGUGGGGAAUAUUGCACAAUGGGGGAAACCCUGAUGCAGCGACGCCGCGUGAGCGAAGAAGUAUUUCGGUAUGUAAAGCUCUAUCAGCAGGGAAGAAAAUGACGGUACCUGACUAAGAAGCACCGGCUAAAUACGUGCCAGCAGCCGCGGUAAUACGUAUGGUGCAAGCGUUAUCCGGAUUUACUGGGUGUAAAGGGAGCGUAGACGGCUGUGUAAGUCUGAAGUGAAAGCCCGGGGCUCAACCCCGGGACUGCUUUGGAAACUAUGCAGCUAGAGUGUCGGAGAGGUAAGUGGAAUUCCCAGUGUAGCGGUGAAAUGCGUAGAUAUUGGGAGGAACACCAGUGGCGAAGGCGGCUUACUGGACGAUGACUGACGUUGAGGCUCGAAAGCGUGGGGAGCAAACAGGAUUAGAUACCCUGGUAGUCCACGCCGUAAACGAUGACUACUUGGUGUCGGGGAGCAAAGCUCUUCGGUGCCGCAGCAAACGCAAUUAAGUAGUCCACUGGGGGAGUACGUUCCCAAGAAUGAAACUCCAAAGGAAUUGACGGGGACCCGCACAAGCGGUGGAGCAUGUGGUUUAAUUCGAAGCAACGCGAAGAACUUUACCUGCUUUUGACAUCUCGGUGACCGGCAUGUAAUGAUGCCUUUUCUUUGGAACACCGGUGACAGGUGGUGCAUGGUUGUCGUCAGCUCGUGUCGUGAGAUGUUGGGUUAAGUCCCGCAACGAGCGCAACCCUUAUCUUCAGUAGCCAGCAAUUCGGAAGGGCACUCUGGAGAGACUGCCAGGGAUAACCUGGAGGAAGGUGGGGAUGACGUCAAAUCAUCAUGCCCCUUAUGAGCAGGGCUACACACGUGCUACAAUGGCGUAAACAAAGGGAAGCGAGCCUGCGAGGGUAAGCAAAUCUCAAAAAUAACGUCUCAGUUCGGAUUGUAGUCUGCAACUCGACUACAUGAAGCUGGAAUCGCUAGUAAUCGCGAAUCAGCAUGUCGCGGUGAAUACGUUCCCGGGUCUUGCACACACCGCCCGUCA
rnacentral:rRNA from 1 species